UGAGCAGUGGUUGCAAUGCUGACAACCUGGGGGGGGGGGGGGUUUGGUGUGUAGAGCAAGGGUGAGUACACAUCAACAUACUCAGCAAGUAUCCUGUUUGGCUGUAGUGGACUAGCUGUAUGUGGGGAUAAGUCAAGCAGUUGCUUUUAGUUGGUCAGAUUAUUACUUACUAGUAGAAAGCCAAGUUUUAGCAUUAACCCAAGUUAUUAACCCAAACGUACUCCUUUCCAAACGGAAAGAGUACCACUUACCAGCACCAUAGUCAUAACCAAAACCAUCAAUCUCAUAACCACCUGUACCAAAGUAUCUCUGAUCAAGUACCACUAAUCAUUGGAGCUCCCUUGGCCGCUCAUAACCGUGAGUGAAAGGGAAAUGUGCCUUUGGACCAUUUCUAAGUAUUUUGGUGAUUGAGUGCAAACACAAGUGCUUAAAUGUGAAAAUGUGCCCAUAGUUGAACAAAGUGCAAAUCACAAGUAAAGGUAUGUUUCUAAGCCUUAGUACAUUGGUUUUGUGUACUAAUAUCUUGUCUAAGUGUUAGAAACAGGAAGAAGAAGAAAAGAAAAGAAGUGGAGAGUGGCUGUGUACAGCCAAAGGCUGUUUCGGGCUGGGGCACCGGACUGUCCGGUGUGCACCGGACAGUGUCCGGUGCGCCAGACCAGCGUGGAGCAAACCAGCCGCUCUCGGGUUUUUCUCCGGCGACUUCGGCUAAAAUUCACCGGACUGUCCGGUGUGCACCGGACUGUCCGGUGAGCCAACGGUCGGCCGGGCCAACGGUCGGCCGCGCGAUCGGCGCGCGACACGUGGCCGAGCCAACGGUCGGAAAGGUACACCGGACUGUCCGGUGUGCACCGGACAUGUCCGGUGCGCCAACUGUGCGCAGAUCUGCAUCAGAAAGCAACGGUCGGAUGAGCUUUGUAUGGAAACAAAUCGGGCACCGGACAGUGUCCGGUGUGCACCGGACUGUCCGGUGCGCCCGACGAUAGAAGGCAAGGAUAGCCUUCCAGAUGUGCUCUCAACGGCUCCUAGCUGCCUUGGGGCUAUAAAAGGGACCCCUAGGCGCAUGGAGGAAGACACCAAGCAUUCCUUGAGCACUCUUGAUCACUCACACAUCAAUCUUGCGCACUUGUUUGACAUUCUAGUGAUUUGAGCUCCGUUCUAGUGUGCUAGUCUCUUGAGCUCAAGUCUGGGUCUUGUGUGUGCGUAUUCGCUGUGAUCUUUGUGUCGUGUGUGAAGUGCUAAUCCCUCCCUUGCUCCAUGAUUCUCUGUGAACAUCUUUUGUAAGGGCGAGAGGCUCCAAGUUGUGGAGAUUCCUCGCAAACGGGAUUGAGAAAAGAAAAGCAAGAACACCGUGGUAUUCAAGUUGAUCAUUGGAUCACUUGAGAGGAGUUGAGUGCAACUCUCGUCCGUUGGGACGCCACAACGUGGAGUAGGCAAGUUUUGUACUUGGCCGAACCACGGGAUAACCACCGUGUCAUCUCUGUGAUUGAUUUCUUGUGGUUAUUGUGUUUUGACUCCUCUCUAGCCACUUGGCCAUAAUUGUGCUAACACUUAACAAGUUUUUGUGGCUUAAGUUUUGAAGUUUUACAGGAUCACCUAUUCACCCCCCCUCUAGGUGCUCUCAAUUGGUAUCAGAGUCGUGCUCUUCAAAGGGACUAACCGCCCGAAGAGAUGGAUCCUAAGGGGAAGGGAAUCGUGAUCAACGAUAAGGAGAAGGAGUCCUUCAUCAACGAGCCCAAAGAUGACAAGCCUAACGACUCUGGCUCGGGUCAUAAACGGAAGGAAGGAAAGAAGAAGAAGACAAGGCGCAUCAAGGAAAUCGUCUACUACGACGACAGUGAUGAGUCUACUUCUUCCCAAAAGGACGACGACCACAACGACUACGAACAAAGGAAACCGGUUAAUUCUAACUUUUCCUUUGACUACUCUCGUAUUCCGCAAAGUUCAAAUUCACAUUUGCUCUCCAUUCCACUCGGCAAGCCCCCACACUUUGAUGGGGAGGACUACGGAUUUUGGAGCCACAAAAUGCGUAGUCACCUAUUCUCUCUCCAUCCUAGUAUAUGGGAGAUUGUAGAUAGUGGAAUGCACUUUAAUAGUGCGGAUAGUCCUAUAUUCAUUAAUGAGCAAAUCCAUAAGAAUGCACAAGCUACUACUGUUCUUCUAGCUUCAUUGUGCAGGGAUGAAUAUAACAAGGUGAGUGGCUUGGAUAACGCCAAGCAAAUCUGGGAUACCCUCAAGAUCUCUCAUGAGGGAAAUGACGCUACCAUGCUCACCAAGAUGGAGUUGGUGGAGGGCGAGCUUGGACGAUUCGCCAUGAUAAGGGGAGAGGAGCCAACUCAAACUUACAACCGGCUCAAGACCCUUAUCAACAAAAUAAGGAGCUACGGGAGCACGCGUUGGACGGAUCACGACGUCGUCCGCCUAAUGCUCAGGUCAUUUACCGUUCUUGAUCCUCAUCUCGUGAACAAUAUUCGUGAGAAUCCCAGGUACACGAUGAUGACGCCCGAGGAAGUACUUGGAAAAUUCGUGAGCGGGCGGAUGAUGAUCAAGGAGGCAAGAUACGUCGACGACGCGUUGAACGGUCCACUCCACGAGCCUCAACCCAUUGCUCUAAAGGCAACGAGGAGCAAGGAGUCGCUACCUAGCAAGGUGGCGCAAGUUGAGGCGGCCGGGCUCAAUGAUGAAGAGAUGGCUCUCAUCAUCAAGAGAUUCAAGACGGCGCUAAAAGGUCGAAAGGGACAGCCAAGCAAGGCCAAGACCAAGGGAAAGCGAUCAUGCUUCAAAUGCGGUAAGCUUGGUCAUUUUAUUGCUAACUGUCCCGAAAAUGAUAGUGACCAGGAGCAAGGGAAAAAUGGGAAGAGAGAGAACAAGAAGGUCUACAAGAAGGCCAAAGGUGAAGCACACCUUGGAAAGGAGUGGGAUUCGGAUUGCUCUUCGUCCGACUCCGACGACGAAGGGCUUGCUGCCACUGCCUUCAACAAAUCGGCUCUCUUCCCCAACGAGCAUCACGCUUGCCUCAUGGCAAGGGAAAAGAAGGUAAUCACUCGUAAUGCUAAUACUUAUGAUUCUUCUAGUGAUGAUGAAUCUAGUGAGGAUGAAAUUGAUUACUCUAGUUUAUUCAAGGGAUUGGAUAGAACUAAGAUAGCUAAGAUUAAUGAGUUGAUUGAUGCCUUAAAUGAAAAGGAUAGAAUCUUAGAGAAACAAGAAGACCUUUUAUAUGAAGAACAUGAUAAAUUUGUAAGUGCACAAAAUUCACUUGCUCUAGAAGUUAAAAGAAAUGAAAUACUUUCUUGUGAACUUUCUACUUGUAAUGAAACCAUUUCUUCUUUAAAAGGUGAAAUUAAUGUUUUAAAUGCUAAACUAGAAGUAGCAAGUAACUCUUGUAGUGAAAAUAUUGCAAUUUGCACUAGGUGUAAGGAUUUUGAUAUUAACGCUUGUAGUGAACACUUAGUUUCAAUUUCAAAACUAAAUGAUGAAGUGGCUAGUCUUAAUGCUCAACUUAAGACUAUCAAAAGUGAUUUUGAAAAACUAAAAUUUGCUAGGGAUGCCUACACGGUUGGUAGACACCCCUCAAUUAAGGAUGGGCUUGGCUUCAAGAGAGAAGUCAAGAACUUGACAAGCCAUAAGGCUCCUAUCUCCGCCAAGGAAAAAGGGAAGGCUCCUAUGGCUAGUAGCACUAAAAAGAACCAUGCUUUUUUGUAUCAUGAUAGAAGUGCUUAUAGGGGUUAUAAUGCUUAUGAUGAUUGUGAUGCUCAUAGUUCUUCCUUUAUGCAUGGUAGAAAUAUGUCUAGGAAAAAUGCUAUGCUUAGAAAGAAUGUUAUUCAUGCUCCUAGGAAAGUAGUGAAUGAACCUUCUACAAUUUAUUGUGCUUUAAAUGCUUCCUUUGUUAUUUGUAGAAAGGAUAAGAAAAUUGUUGCUAGGAAGUUAGGGGCAAAAUGCAAGGGAGACAAAACUUGCAUUUGGGUCCCUAAGGAUAUUUGCACUAACCUUGUAGGACCCAACAUGAGUUGGGUACCUAAGUCCCAAGCCUAAAUUUGCCUUGCAGGUUUAUGCAUCCGGGGGUUCAAGCUGGAUUAUCGACAGCGGAUGCACAAACCAUAUGACGGGGGAGAAGAAGAUGUUCACCUCCUACGUCAAGAAUAAAGAUUCCCAAGAUUCAAUUAUAUUCGGUGAUGGGAAUCAAGGCAAGGUAAAAGGUUUAGGUAAAAUUGCAAUUUCUAAUGAGCACUCCAUAUCUAAUGUGUUUUUAGUUGAGUCUCUUGGAUAUAAUCUGCUAUCUGUGAGUCAAUUAUGCAAAAUGGGAUAUAACUGUCUAUUUACAAAUGUAGAUGUGUCUGUCUUUAGAAGAAGUGAUGGUUCACUAGCUUUUAAGGGUGUAUUAGACGGCAAACUUUAUUUAGUUGAUUUUGCAAAAGAAGAGGCCGGUCUAGAUGCAUGCUUAAUAGCUAAGACUAGCAUGGGCUGGCUGUGGCAUCGCCGCUUAGCACAUGUGGGGAUGAAGAACCUUCACAAGCUUCUAAAGGGAGAACACGUGAUAGGUCUAACUAAUGUUCAAUUCGAAAAAGAUAGACCUUGUGCAGCUUGUCAAGCAGGGAAACAGGUGGGAGGCUCUCAUCACACCAAAAAUGUGAUGACGACAUCAAGACCCUUGGAGAUGCUGCAUAUGGACCUUUUUGGACCCGUCGCCUAUCUGAGCAUAGGAGGAAGUAAGUAUGGUUUAGUUAUUGUUGAUGACUUUUCCCGCUUCACUUGGGUGUUCUUUUUGCAGGAAAAGUCCGAAACCCAAGGGACCCUCAAACGCUUCCUCAGGAGAGCUCAAAAUGAGUUUGAGCUCAAAGUGAAGAAGAUAAGGAGCGACAACGGAUCCGAGUUCAAGAACCUUCAAGUGGAGGAGUUCCUUGAAGAGGAAGGGAUCAAGCACGAGUUCUCCGCUCCCUACACACCACAACAAAAUGGUGUGGUAGAGAGGAAGAACAGGACGCUCAUCGACAUGGCAAGGACGAUGCUAGGAGAGUUCAAGACCCCCGAGUGCUUUUGGACGGAAGCUGUGAACACGACUUGCCACGCCAUCAACAGGGUCUACCUUCAUCGCCUCCUCAAGAAGACGUCGUAUGAGCUACUAACCGGUAACAAACCCAAUGUAUCUUACUUUCGUGUAUUUGGGAGCAAGUGCUACAUUCUAGUGAAGAGAGGUAGAAAUUCUAAGUUUGCUCCCAAAGCUGUAGAAGGGUUUUUGUUAGGUUAUGACUCAAAUACAAAGGCGUAUAGAGUCUUCAACAAAUCAUCGGGUUUGGUUGAAGUCUCUAGCGACGUUGUAUUUGAUGAAACUAAUGGCUCUCCAAGAGAGCAAGUUGUUGAUUGUGAUGAUGUAGAUGAAGAAGAUGUUCCGACGACCGCUAUACGAACCAUGGCGAUUGGAGAAGUACGGCCACAGGAACAAGAUGAACGUGAUCAGCCUUCUUCCUCAACCAUGGUGCAUCCCCCAACCCAAGAUGACGAACAGGUACCUCAAGUGGAGGCGUGUGAUCAAGGGGGAGCACAAAAUGAUCAUGUGAUGGAGGAAGAAGCGCAACCGGCACCUCCAACCCAAGUUCGAGCGAUGAUUCAAAGGGAUCAUCCCGUCGACCAAAUUCUGGGUGACAUUAGCAAGGGAGUAACUACUCGAUCUCGAUUAGUUAAUUUUUGUGAGCAUUACUCCUUUGUCUCUUCUACUGAGCCUUUCAGGGUAGAGGAGGCCUUGCUAGAUCCGGACUGGGUGUUGGCCAUGCAGGAGGAGCUCAACAACUUCAAAAGGAAUGAAGUUUGGACACUAGUGCCUCGUCCGAAGCAAAAUGUUGUGGGAACCAAGUGGGUGUUCCGCAACAAACAGGACGAGCACAGGGUGGUGACGAGAAACAAGGCUCGACUUGUGGCAAAAGGUUAUGCCCAAGUCGCAGGUUUGGAUUUCGAGGAGACUUUUGCUCCUGUGGCUAGGCUAGAAUCAAUUCGUAUCUUGCUAGCAUAUGCCGCUCAUCAUUCUUUCAGGUUGUACCAAAUGGAUGUGAAGAGCGCUUUCCUCAACGGGCCAAUCAAGGAGGAGGUGUACGUGGAGCAACCCCCUGGCUUCGAGGAUGAACGGUACCCCGACCAUGUGUGUAAGCUCUCUAAGGCGCUCUAUGGACUUAAGCAAGCCCCAAGAGCAUGGUAUGAAUGCCUUAGAGACUUUCUAAUUGUUAAUGCUUUCAAGGUUGGGAAAGCCGAUCCAACUCUUUUCACAAAGACAUGUGAUGGUGAUUUGUUUGUGUGCCAAAUUUAUGUCGAUGACAUAAUAUUUGGUUCUACUAACCAAAAGUCUUGUGAAGAGUUUAGCAGGGUGAUGACGCAGAAAUUCGAGAUGUCGAUGAUGGGCGAGUUGAACUACUUCCUUGGGUUCCAAGUGAAGCAACUCAAAGACGGCACUUUCAUCUCCCAAACGAAGUACACGCAAGACUUGCUAAAGAGGUUUGGGAUGAAGGACGCCAAGCCCGCAAAGACGCCGAUGGGAACCGACGGACACACAGACCUCAACAAAGGAGGUAAGUCCGUUGAUCAAAAAGCAUACCGGUCAAUGAUAGGGUCUUUACUUUAUUUAUGUGCUAGUAGACCGGACAUUAUGCUUAGCGUAUGCAUGUGUGCUAGAUUUCAAUCCGAUCCUAAGGAAUGUCACUUAGUGGCGGUGAAGCGAAUUCUUAGAUAUUUAGUUGCUACGCCUUGCUUCGGACUCUGGUAUCCAAAAGGGUCUACCUUUGACUUGGUUGGAUACUCAGAUUCCGACUAUGCUGGAUGUAAGGUCGAUAGGAAGAGUACAUCAGGGACGUGCCAAUUCUUAGGAAGGUCCCUGGUGUCAUGGAACUCUAAGAAACAAACCUCCGUUGCCCUAUCCACCGCUGAGGCCGAGUACGUUGCCGCAGGUCAGUGUUGCGCGCAACUACUUUGGAUGAGGCAAACCCUCCGGGACUUUGGCUACAAUCUGAGCAAAGUCCCACUCCUAUGUGAUAAUGAGAGUGCUAUCCGCAUGACGGAAAAUCCUGUUGAACACAGCCGCACAAAGCACAUAGACAUCCGGCAUCACUUUUUGAGAGACCACCAGCAAAAGGGAGAUAUCGAAGUGUUUCAUGUUAGCACCAAGAACCAGCUAGCCGAUAUCUUCACUAAGCCUCUAGAUGAGAAGACCUUUUGCAGGUUGCGUAGUGAGCUAAAUGUCUUAGAUUCGCGGAACUUGGAUUGAAUUGUAGCAUAUAUGUGUUUAUGCACUUGAUCAUGUUCAUUCUGCAUUUUGUUGCUUAUUGUGGUGCUCAAGUUGUACAAACACUCCCUGGACCUCACAAGUCCGUUGCAAAGUGAUGCACAUGUUUAGGGGGAGAUGUGUUACAACUUGACCCUUUGAGACUAACCAUUUGCUUGAGUUUGCUUGAUUUAGUCUCGAAAGUGAAUUGAAAGGGAAAGGUGAACUUGGACCAUGCAAGACUUCCACUGCACUCCGAUGAGAGGGUAACUUAUUCCAAGUUCAUCUCUAAGAUCUUAUUGCCUUUGCACUCUUAAUUGAAGACUUUGGUGAGGCAAUGGGGUUAAAGGGCCAAGAUUGAUCCCGUUUUGGUGCUUGAUGCCAAAGGGGGAGAAAAUAAAGGCCAAAGUGAUAAAUGGAUCAGCUACCACUUGAGAGAUUUUGAAAAUAGUAGAAUAGAGUUUUUGUUGUGUCAAAAGCUUUUAUUGUCUCUAUUGUCAAAAGUUGGCUUCUUGUGGGGAGAAGUGUUGAUUAUGGGAAAUAGGGGGAGUUUUUGAAAUCUUUGAUCAAUCUCUUUUGGAAUGACUCUCUUUAUGCCUCAACAUGUGUGUUUGACAUAGAAUUAGAGAUUUGAGUGUGAUUUGCAAAAACAAACCAAGUGGUGGCAAAGGAUGAUCCAUAUAUGCCAAAAUUGAAUCAAAACCAAUUUGAGUUUUUAUUUGAAAUGAUUUUGCACUUGUUCUAGUUGCUUUAUGUUGUGUUGGCAUAAAUCACCAAAAAGGGGGAGAUUGAAAGGGAAAUGUGCCUUUGGACCAUUUCUAAGUAUUUUGGUGAUUGAGUGCAAACACAAGUGCUUAAAUGUGAAAAUGUGCCCAUAGUUGAACAAAGUGCAAAUCACAAGUAAAGGUAUGUUUCUAAGCCUUAGUACAUUGGUUUUGUGUACUAAUAUCUUGUCUAAGUGUUAGAAACAGGAAGAAGAAGAAAAGAAAAGAAGUGGAGAGUGGCUGUGUACAGCCAAAGGCUGUUUCGGGCUGGGGCACCGGACUGUCCGGUGUGCACCGGACAGUGUCCGGUGCGCCAGACCAGCGUGGAGCAAACCAGCCGCUCUCGGGUUUUUCUCCGGCGACUUCGGCUAAAAUUCACCGGACUGUCCGGUGUGCACCGGACUGUCCGGUGAGCCAACGGUCGGCCGGGCCAACGGUCGGCCGCGCGAUCGGCGCGCGACACGUGGCCGAGCCAACGGUCGGAAAGGUACACCGGACUGUCCGGUGUGCACCGGACAUGUCCGGUGCGCCAACUGUGCGCAGAUCUGCAUCAGAAAGCAACGGUCGGAUGAGCUUUGUAUGGAAACAAAUCGGGCACCGGACAGUGUCCGGUGUGCACCGGACUGUCCGGUGCGCCCGACGACAGAAGGCAAGGAUAGCCUUCCAGAUGUGCUCUCAACGGCUCCUAGCUGCCUUGGGGCUAUAAAAGGGACCCCUAGGCGCAUGGAGGAAGACACCAAGCAUUCCUUGAGCACUCUUGAUCACUCACACAUCAAUCUUGCGCACUUGUUUGACAUUCUAGUGAUUUGAGCUCCGUUCUAGUGUGCUAGUCUCUUGAGCUCAAGUCUGGGUCUUGUGUGUGCGUAUUCGCUGUGAUCUUUGUGUCGUGUGUGAAGUGCUAAUCCCUCCCUUGCUCCGUGAUUCUCUGUGAACAUCUUUUGUAAGGGCGAGAGGCUCCAAGUUGUGGAGAUUCCUCGCAAACGGGAUUGAGAAAAGAAAAGCAAGAACACCGUGGUAUUCAAGUUGAUCAUUGGAUCACUUGAGAGGAGUUGAGUGCAACUCUCGUCCGUUGGGACGCCACAACGUGGAGUAGGCAAGUUUUGUACUUGGCCGAACCACGGGAUAACCACCGUGUCAUCUCUGUGAUUGAUUUCUUGUGGUUAUUGUGUUUUGACUCCUCUCUAGCCACUUGGCCAUAAUUGUGCUAACACUUAACAAGUUUUUGUGGCUUAAGUUUUGAAGUUUUACAGGAUCACCUAUUCACCCCCCCCCCCCUCUAGGUGCUCUCAGUGAGCACGGCUGAUAUAUCAGUUUUCAAACACUCUGCAGAGGUUGUGCACUUUACCCACAAGCCGUGAUUCCCAUUCUGCCCGGAGAGAGCUACUCCCCAUUGACCACUACCUAGGUGGCCUAGCAGGGCAUCACUACGUAGCCUUUACAAAGAUUCCCCGGGACUGUAGCCACCCGUUAGGUUUCCUAAAUGCACCGCACUCCUCCCCAAGGGGCGAACCCAAACUUGGCAGAGCGAGCCGCAUACACCGAGCCCCAUUGACGGCACGACGGCUAAGUGAACUACACCCCGGAUCCUCUAAUUAUUCAGCUAAGGGCAUCCCAUUCCACCCUCAUGGUUGCACUGUUUUCCCGGGCGGUCAUCCAUAGAACAGGUCCUUACGGAGAGGCACUCGAGAAACCGCUCGAGCCCCCUUGAUGACCACAAGCAUACAUCAUAAUAAGAGAAGGGAAAACAGCGUAUCAUAGAUAAUCUCAUCAUGUUCAUUGAUUAGAGUUUGAGCAAUAGCAUAAAGCUAAACAGUAAUAAUCCAACCCAAAUAGGUGAACAAGGACAUGGAUCACAAAAGCUAGUCAAUCCUUAGGCAUAAAUGUGUAAUGCGGGAGGUGAAUUAAAUAAUGAAUAGGACAUAGAUAGGUCAAGGGACACUUGCCUCCACCAACCGACUGCUGCUCAGGGGCUUCUCCUGCGAGUUCCUCGGGCUCUUCAACCGGAUCGUUCUCUAUGCGAGCGCAAACGUACAUACAUACACACAUUUAAUACAAAAGAACAGUACAUCAUACAAUAGAAUGCAAUAAGUAAACAGACGUUCCACGCGGGCUCGCAAGUACGGUUAAGAGAGAAAGAGGAAAAGACAGUCGAGAAACGAUCACGUUACAUGAUUAUAAAUUAACCACUCGCUUAAUGGAAGGAAAUUUAAUGUAGACACUAUGUUUAGCGUAAAGUAAAGUCAUGUUUCAUGUCUAAUUAUUAUAAGCAGGUGGAGAUAAAUAAAAGGAUGGUCGCGCGGCGAGACGCGCGACAAAGCUCUCUAAAACAAAUUAAGAAGUUAACGACUCGUCGCGCGACUGAGCACGCAGCGAGACACUUCGCCUUAGUUAAGAGGAGACGUUAAGCGUCGCGCGACGAAGCGCACGACGGCAUACGUCGACUAAACUGAGUCCAAAGUGGAACGUCGCGUCAAUACACACGCGGCGUUACACCUUAAACAACCUGAAACAAAAAUGGAUCGUCGCGCGACGAAGCGCACGACGCAACACAAGAUAGAAUCUGAAUUUAGACAAAUUCGUCGCGCGGCGAAGCGCGCGACGCAACACGCUAAUUAACGAAUAAUCACCGCGAGCGCGGGCGAGCGAAGAUACGGUCGGGCGAGGCUGGGGCGGGGGAACGGGCGGCCGAGCUGGGGCCAGGGCGGUUGAACCGGCCAGGGGCAGCCGAGCCGGCCGGGGCCGCGCCGGGGACGCGCCGGGGGCCGGAGGCCGCGCCGGGGUCGCGCCGGCGAGCAGGGGCCACCGGGGCCGCGCUGCGCGCGAGCAGGGGAGGGGCGGGGGCGGGCGGGCGCCGCCACGGCCGGGACGGGCGGGCGCCGCCGCGGGGAGGGGCGGGCGGACGAGCGCCACGCGGGGCCGGGGGAAGGGGCCGAGCGCCGCCGCGCGGGACCGGGGAGGGGCGGGCAGGGGCGCCGCCGCGGGCCGGGGAGGGCGGGCGAGCGCCGCUGCGCGCGGGGGAGGGGCGGGCGAGCGCCGCCGCGGGCCAGGGGAGGGCGGGCGCCGCCGCGCGGGCCGGGGCAGGGGCGGGCGGGCGAGCGCCGCCGCGGGCCGAGCGGGGGGGGGGCGAGCGCCGCCGCGGGGUGGGGCGGACAGGGGCGCCGAGCGCCGCCGCGGGGGCGGGGACGGGGUCGGGCGCGGGCAGGGGGAGAGGGAGGGCGCGCGCGGGGGGGAAGAAGAAGAGGAAGAGGGAGAGAGAGGAGAAGGGGAGGGGAGGGGAGGGGAGCUCACCUCGGGGUCCAAAAUCCGGUGAUCGCCGUCUCCAAAUCCUAGGGCACCACAGGGAGAGAGAGGUGGAAGAAGGAGAGGAGAGGUUGUUUGCGCGGGAGAUCCAAAUGAGAGAGAGAGAGGGGAGGGGGGCGCAUGGGGGGGGGGUUUGGGCGCCAGGGGCGCGCAGGCCGGGGCGAGCCGGGUCGGCUGGGCUGGGCUGGACUAGGUUGGGCUGGGCCGGGCCACUUCGCGGAUCGAAAACCCACGACGAGCGCGGACCACUAAACGGAAUUAAAUCGCGAAUCGAAAUCCGGAACGGAACGAGACGAACACUCAUCAUCAGACAAAGAAAUGCGCUUCGGCAUGAUGCAACACCCAUGACACUUAGGUUUUGGUUUAUACAUGACACGGACACCUGCCGCUAUACUGGUUUGAAAUUGGGAAGAAAGAGCAAAAGGGGAAAGAGAAAAGAGAGUAACGCCCGAAUUUGGUGAGAGAAAAGAAGAAAAAAUUCUACCCCCAAAUUCAGGGCGUUACAGCAUGCACAUAAAAAGCAUCACAACACACUUACGAAACCUAUUGACUAAUUCAAUGGAAACACUACACAUGUCCUUUGCAUUCACCAACAAAAUCACACUUCGUAUACAUAGAACUUGUGUAAACAUACCCGACCAAUAAAUCUACCAAAAUAUUCUUCACAUAACCUAUAUUUCGCCCCACGAUAUAUCACGCGAUGCAACUAUUAUGGCAAGCAUCACUUUAUCAUAACAGAAAAAAUAACAAAACAACCCAACAGCACUUGUCGGCUAGUCGAUUGAGUACUAAUCUUAUCUAUCGCACCACUAGCACAAUGUACUUCGACGCACACACUCAUCCACCGACACGUCCUUCGCAUAAACCGACGUUUCUAACCCUACAAAUCACAUCAAUUCCACAACUUGUUUGUUUCUCCGAUUCACCUACACAUUCAUGCUACUUGCACGCAAAGCAAAAUUUUGCCAACACUUAAUAUGCAUCACUACAGAAUAGUUAACAAGAGCCAGAAAAACAUAGAGAAAACUUCUCACGCUUUUUAACUUACUUUCUUCUCCGACGAGGUUCUCCAAUCACACACUCGCGUGGCAUGGAUCACACAGCGUGGGUGGAAGCCACGGUGACGAUGCAACAAGGGCGGAACGGUUCAUGGGAAUGAUGAUAGGAAGGAGCUUGGUUUGCCAGGCUUGGUGCAAGAGAACAAGUCAACACGCUGAGAGGGGAAAAUCUCAGGGUGCAUGCAAGGGAGAUGGCCGACGGAGUCUACAACCGGAUGGACAUUAUGUCAAGCACAAAGCGC
rnacentral:lncRNA from 1 species